rnacentral:tRNA from 1 species
GUCCCCAUAGCUCAGCGGAUAGAGCGUCAGAUUGCGGAUCUGAAGGCCGGAGGUUCAAGUCCUCCUGGGGACG